GGAGUAUGUGGUUUAAUUCGAUGCAACGCGAAGAACCUUACCUGGUCUUGACAUCCCGGACGGACCCUUAACGGUAAACGUAGGGGGUGGCUUCCCAUCUGGAAGAAUCUGGAGACAGGUGCUGCAUGGCUGUCGUCAGCUCGUGUCGUGAGAUGUUGGGUUAAGUCCCGCAACGAGCGCAACCCUUGCCUUUAGUUGCCAGCAGUUCGGCUGGGCACUCUAUGGAGACUGCCACCUAAAGUGGAGGAAGGUGGGGAUGACGUCAAGUCAGCAUGGCCCUUACGUCCGGGGCUACACACGUGCUACAAUGGCCGGUACAAAGGGUUGCGAAGCCGUGAGGUGGAGCGAAUCUCAAAAAGCCGGCCUCAGUUCAGAUUGGAGGCUGCAACUCGCCUCCAUGAAGUCGGAAUCGCUAGUAACCGCAGAUCAGCUACGUUGCGGUGAAUACGUUCCCGGGCCUU
rnacentral:rRNA from 1 species